GUGCUUCCCUGGCAGAGCAGAGGCGAUCCAGGAGGUGGUUUCCAAGGGUGAGGCUCCUCCAUUGCACUUGGGGUGUGCCGAUUUAUACAUCACCCCUGCAAUUCUCCCAAAUGUGAGAAAUUCAACUGUAAUUUCUGGUCAUUGGGGACUGUGUUCAUGCUCUCCCCUC
ensembl:snRNA Gm23458 U1 spliceosomal RNA